GGAUGCCCUGCCGGGGGCGGCGCUGUCGGACUACCUGAUCGGUGGGCUGACGGUCGGCGACCUGCCGUUCGAGACGGCGGGCAUGUUC
rnacentral:tRNA from 1 species